UAUGGUCUUGGGCAAGAGUUGGAGUCACUCGGCCACCAAUUAUCUUCAUUUGGCCCAUUGUUUCCCAUUAAAACAAUUCGCCCCAAGUUGAUCUAGUUACUGUUCUCAUUUAUAAUCCAAGUUGAUACUAUUUGUCAUGUGGCUGGCUAUACGACAUUGUUUUUGUUUUUUUUUGGAAAAUUUCUAGGAAACCGUAGCUGCUAUUCUUCGGGUACGCACUGAAUAACUAGCUCACCGUGUAAUAACUCGCAAAUCACACAGAAGAUAUAAAUUGCAUUAGGCACGCCCGGUACGACUAGCUCUGACCGGGAAGACUACUGGUGAGGAGAAUCGAUCUCAGAUCUCCCAUGUGAGAAACCACUCACCCAAAUAACUCAAUCAACCCCGGCGGCGGGCGUGACUUCACAGUAAGUCUUUGUGAAGGCUUUCUUUUUGUCAUUUUUCUCCCUUGUUUAGAACAAGUUGUUCUGACAGUUGCACGAGAAACUAUUAAGUUCUAUAAAUAGGGGAGAAACAUUGUUUUCCUUUUUACAGCAAAAAAUUGAAACUCCAAAUAGCUCAUCAAAAUGUUUUCCAAAACUAACCUUUUUCUUUGCCUUUCUUUGGCUAUUUUGCUAAUUGUAAUAUCCUCACAAGCUGAUGCAAGGGAGACGUCUAAGGCAACUGCUCCAAUUACCCAAGAAAUGAAUUCAAACAACACUACUGAUCAGAAGAUACCAAAACGUCCAAAACCAGGAGGCAAUAUCUUCGGCAAAGCUUGUAAAAUUUGCCCAUGUAAAUACCAGAUUUGCAGCAAAUGUCCUAAAUGUGAUGACCAAAAUUAGGCCUCAGAGACUAUGUACUUGUGCUGGUGUGAGUUUAGUUUUGAGAAUAAAGGGAAAGUUAUGAAUAGCCUAAUAUAAUUCUAUUCACUUUCCUCUAGUUAAUUUCUCUUAGUUUGUGUUUUGUUUUGUUAGUAGUUCCUAUUGUUGCAACUUGCAACAAGUCUUGGGGUCAACAUGUACCUCUUGUCUUGUAGUCUUUCGACUGUAUGAUAUUGUACCGUAUUGUAUUGUAUUUUUCUUUAGCCACUUGUUAUCUGAAACCAAAUCCAAUUAAAUCUAAUUCGCGUUGCA